rnacentral:lncRNA from 10 species
AUUUAGACAGCUGCCUGAAGAGUGAGGCUCAGGUGGCAAAUAAAGCAACAUGCGCUUGCAGAGCCCAGAAGACAGAAACAUAUGCAAGACCAAGGACACGGAAGCAGAGUGAAGAAGCAGGAAGACCAGUCUUGGCUCUGUGAACAAGGACACAGGUGCUGGAAUCGGAAGACUUGACCUUUAAGCCAUCUCAGUUUCUUCAUGUGUGUCCUGGCCAUGGCAAAACCCUAGCUGAAGAGAUUCUGAGACUGAAGCAGGGGAAGAAGUUGUGUCACCAGAGCUCUGAGCCAGAAUUUUGGGAAAGAUGGCAGAUUGGUAAGGAAAUAAAUUGCUCAGUUUAUAUCACCCAUCAUUUCCUUUUUCAAAUUGCAAAAUAAAAUAGGAAAUAGAAUAGAAAAUUAAAUAAAAUAUCCCUCUUGGUGAUUUUGAAGGUAGACCAGUUCUGGUUUCCUGCCAGCGGAGAUUACCCUUCCCCGUGGCACAAUAGUCUCAUUCAGCUUUUGGUACUAGAGUAACUAUUUAGAAUAAAGUCCGAGGUCCCAGCUAAGAACAGAGAAUGAAGAAAAACUUACAAAUUUCUUUUUUCUGCACAUGCCAUGCCAUUUACAAACAUGGCCACUUUGAUGACUUCCUCACUGCUUUGCCCUUGAAAAAGGAGUUAUUAUAACAUACCUUGCAAAUGA